rnacentral:rRNA from 1 species
CGACUCUCGGCAACGAAUAUCUCGGCUCUCGCAUCGAUGAAGAACGCAGCGAACUGCGAUACUUGGUGUGAAUUGCAGAAUCCCGUGAACCAUCGAGUCUUUGAACGCAAGUUGCGCCCGAAUCCUUUUUGGACGAGGGCACGUUUGCCUGGGUGUCACAC